AUUGAACGCUGGCGGCAUGCUUUACACAUGCAAGUCGAACGGUAACAGGGUGCUUGCACCGCUGACGAGUGGCGAACGGGUGAGUAGUGCGUCGGAACGUGCCGAGUAGUGGGGGAUAACGCAGCGAAAGUUGUGCUAAUACCGCAUACGUACUGAGGUAGAAAGUGGGGGACCUUCGGGCCUCACGCUAUUCGAGCGGCCGACGUCUGAUUAGCUAGUAGGUGAGGUAAAGGCUCACCUAGGCGACGAUCAGUAGCGGGUCUGAGAGGAUGAUCCGCCACACUGGGACUGAGACACGGCCCAGACUCCUACGGGAGGCAGCAGUGGGGAAUUUUGGACAAUGGGCGAAAGCCUGAUCCAGCCAUGCCGCGUGUCUGAAGAAGGCCUUCAGGUUGUAAAGGACUUUUGUCGGGGAGGAAAUCCCCAGCGUUAAUACCGCUGGGGGAUGACAGUACCUGAAGAAUAAGCACCGGCUAACUACGUGCCAGCAGCCGCCGUAA
rnacentral:rRNA from 1 species